rnacentral:rRNA from 2 species
GUAGGGUGCAAGCGUUAAUCGGAAUUACUGGGCGUAAAGCGUGCGCAGGCGGUUAUGCAAGACAGAUGUGAAAUCCCCGGGCUCAACCUGGGAACUGCAUUUGUGACUGCAUAGCUGGAGUGCGGCAGAGGGGGAUGGAAUUCCGCGUGUAGCAGUGAAAUGCGUAGAUAUGCGGAGGAACACCGAUGGCGAAGGCAAUCCCCUGGGCCUGCACUGACGCUCAUGCACGAAAGCGUGGGGAGCAAACAGGAUUAGAUACCCUGGUAGUCCACGCCCUAAACGAUGUCAACUGGUUGUUGGGAAGGUUCCUUCUCAGUAACGUAGCUAACGCGUGAAGUUGACCGCCUGGGGAGUACGGCCGCAAGGUUG